UCUAUAUAAAACGAUCACAACGCGUGAUUAUUUGUCUAUUCUCAUUUUUUUUUCAUCCUUGUCGUGUGAAUCGGUCUUGGUGCAGUUUUUGUGACUAACCAAACCUUCGUUACGUUCGGUCAGAGUCAAUGUUUCGGAUCUUGUAUCGUGGAUUGAACCUCGAUCUGGUUAUUAAGAUGUUUAAUUGCAGAUUCUGUCGAUAUGUUUGAAUCAGGCAAAGAAUCGUUUAAAUCGAUCAAGAAUUUCGCAAAGUUUUCGUGACGCCGGUGAUGAUCGUUACUUUUCUUUGGUGGAUGUUGAUGGUGUCAUCUCGAAAUAGAGUAAUCAACGUGAUAUUCGCUGUGUAAUGAUGAUGGUUUUAUUGGUAAAGUCCUUUAGGAGAUUAAGUUAUUUACAAUUACUGGAGUAUCUUGAAUUGGUUGCGAGAGAACUGUUUCAUGUGUAUACACAAAAGGUAGUUGUUCCGUUGUUAAUAGACCAUUGCCAUGUCAGGUGCGCUUGCAUGGCUGGUCAAAAAGCGUUAAUAAAAAAAUUUAAUUGAUUUUUGUUUGGGGGGAGAGAUGGUUUCGAGGGUUUAUUCCUUUGAUUUAUUUUUGCCCGAUUCUCUUCUCUCCCCCUCUCGUGUCGUGCUUUUGGUUGCCCCCUUCCCUUUCUCUCUCCUUUUUCUUCUCUCUACACUCUGAAUUCUCUUAUAUUAUACUAUGUUUUGCGUACAACUGGUUAUUGUUUCCGAAACCGGCUCAACCAAACGACAAACGAUUGUCAACUCGGCAAGGUAUAUGAUGCUCAACGCACACUUUAAUUCAUUUUAAUUACGUUAUUUGCCUCAUUUAAAUUUACAAUUUAUAAUAAUUAACAUUAUGUCUCGUAUGUAAUUAAUUCAUUGUUUUGGUUUUUAUUUUUAUUUUUAUUUUUAAAAAUAAAAGGCAUUUGGUACAAUUACAAUUAUUAUGUUACAUUUAUGGUCAUGGUAUGGUUUUAUGGUUUCGUUAACAAAUCAUUUAUACAGGCAUGCGUUUUAUAUUUUUGUGAUUUGAAAUGAAUUGAAAUCGUUCAAUAUUAUAAUCAGUAUAUAAUAUAAUCUCCUUUAAAAUAUAGCAAUGUAUCUUGCACCUGGCAGUAUGAUGGUUUAUGUUCAUGUUAAAUAUUAAAUAUUUAGAAUUGCUACAUGUUACAUGCUUGUUCAUGGUAAAUUUUUAUGGUUUUAUUGGUAAUUAAAAUAUUUUUACAUUUUUAUAAACAUGUGAUUUGUAUUUUUGUGAUUAGAAUGAAUUGGGAUUUUCUUUCAAUGAAAUGACUCGUUCAAUAUUAUAUUUUAUAAUUAUAACUAACAUCCGUAUACAAUCACCUUUAAAAUAGAGCAAUGCAUCAUGCGCCUGGCAGUAUAAUGAUUUAUGUUCACUGUAAUAUUUAGCAAUUAAAGAUUAACUAUUACAGUAAAUAUUAAAAAUAGAAAUACUUUUUAGUAUCAGUUUCAAAUUUGUAAAUCAUUUUGUGAAUUGAAUAUAAGUGGCUUUGUGUUAUCUAAAAGUAUCUAAAUUUUAUAAUAAAAAAGGUGCAAAUGUUUAUUGGUUGGAGUUCUCAUGCACUAUUUCAACCAGCUGCAAUAUCUAAAUCAUAUGUUCUUACUUUUUCAUUCAGUGUAAAUGUAUAUUUUAGUUUAUUCUACCCAAAUUUUAUAUAACUGUAUUAUGAUCCAUGAUACAACUAUAAACAGUUGUCAUUCUCUCCAUGUAAAAUUUUGCCUAUAUCAUAAUCAUUUAAGUUUAUUGAUGUCUUGCUGCCUCUGUAUCAUGUAGCUGUUAGUUGCAUUUGUACUUGGGUCUUUUGGGGAUAAGUGGGAGUUUGUUGUUUUAUUAUAUGUUUCAAAAUUCCACCGUGGAUAGCUUGAGGUUGCAAGAACAGAUGGCUGUAACAGUACCAGGAGUAGAUUCAAGGUUACAAGAACGUGCAAUUUUCUGGUUUGGAUGGUUUGGAUCAUUGUCAGAUAUGACUUAAAGCAUUUUUGAGAUUACAACUUCUUUGAGUGUAGAUAUCUGAAAAUUGAGUCAGGAAUCUGGUGGAAGAUGAAAGUAUUUUUGUUCAUCAAUUUUUGUGAUUCAGUGAACAACAUCCUGGCUUUGUUGUAGGUUUAUCGUCAUCUCUUGACAUUUUGAUUCAAUUAAGAGAUUUGUCUUUGGUGCUUCGACAUCAAAUGAUUGUGUAAUGUCCUAUCCUGUACUAGCACACGUACAGUCUUGUCUAUUUAUACAGCGACAUAUUCCCGCGUACAGAUGGCUGUAACAGUACCAAGUGUAGCUUCAAUGUUCCAUGAACGUCCAAUUUUCUGAUUUCAUAGCCUUGGUCAUUAUAACUGAAAUUCAUUCUCUUGUUCUUUAGUUAUUGGGAACAACAGUGUUAAUCUCUGGUUUGUUUUCUACUCCUUUUUAAUUUCACAUGGAUAAACAGCUUGUUCAGGUCUUUUUUAAAUGUUUUCUAUGUUGGUAGUCUAUUUGAUAUAGUUUGUCUAAUGCAGGCGCAGUGACACAUUAAUUAUAUCAUAUAUUAUGCCGCAGCUAAUUGCUAGUUUGUUUUUGACCUUGCAUUAUAACAUUUGGGCUUAUUAGAAUUGCUUCUAAUUUUUGGGCCUUUCAUGCUUAUUUGGAAACCAGAUUUUGUCGGAAGAGGUGAUUUUUGGGCUUAGAAUUGAAUAUAUUUUGUUCCGAUAAAUCCUAAUUAAUUCUCUGGGAGGAUCGGAUUAUCAGCAAUAUUACUUUCUUGGCCGAUACGGGAAGAUGCAUUAAGAUUGUAACUAGAGUCGAUGUUGUUAUGGGUUUCUUAGGUUCUAUAUGAAUAAUGAAGGAGAAUAGUUCAUCGCGUGUGUUGAAAUAGAUAAACCCUUUUAAAGAAGGGCUUUUAGUGCAGCAUCACAUUGAAGGAAAUUACGAUGGGUCUACAAGCUCGAAUAGGAAUGAGCGCCCAAAUGCUAUUGCGUAUGGGAGGUUGGUGGUUCAAGUCCACCUGGAUCCGCCUAGAAAUAUGUUUAAACCUUUUUUUUUUUCUAUAGAAAGAAAUGGAAGUUGUGGUUAUGUUCAUGGGAAAAGUAAUUGGAAGGUGUUAUGGCGCACGACGUAAGAGUGAUGGAAAUUUAGAUUUUUAUGGUAUAGUUAGAUGUAAUAAUGAAAUUCAUUAGUGGUUAUGAAAUGGGAAGAGAAAGUUAUGAAUAAUUGUGUGGUAUGUUUUAUAGAAUUUUCAUUAAAAUCUUUUAUUUUGGUAGGUUCAAUGGGAGGGCAUACCGGUAACACUGCUCGUGGCUCGUGAACUAUUUUAGAAAGCGAGGGCUAUCAGUAUAAUGGGCGCAGCUUGUCACCACCACCUUGACAGCUGGAUUUAAUAUUAAAGGGACUGCAUUGCCAACAUUAUUUUUUGUUGUGAAAAUUCAAAGAUCUUAACUGAGUUAUAGUCUUAAUAGAAGCUGCUGGAUUUUAUUGAGAAUUUUGAAAUUUAAGUAAUUAGGACAAUUUUGAAAAUGCAUGAUUUGUAAAGUUAAAAAAAAAAAAAACCCACAAA